rnacentral:lncRNA from 1 species
AUGCUGGCUCGAGGACACAGUCCCCACGUGGGGUCCUUUCCCUUCCUUUGGUGGCUAGCGGGAGUCCGUGGGCAUCUCUGCAGUGCACAUGCCCCAACCUGGUCCAGAGCUCGUGGUCCAGAGGGGACCCAGGGCAAAGGGACCCCCCAGCAGAGGUUGGACACAUUGGGUUCAGCAUCGUGUGUGUGUACAGCAGCACCCAUGGGGGACAACGCAUUUUAUAAAGCAGCACCCAUGGGGUACAGCACCCAUCAUGCACAGCAGCACCCAUGGGGUAUAACACUAUGUGUGUGUACAGCAGCACCCGUGGGAUACAGCACCGUGCGUACAACAGCACCCAUGGGGGACAGCACCCAGCACACACAGCAGCAGCCAUGGGGUAUAGCGCUAUGUGUGUACAGCAGCACCCGUGGGAUACUGCACCCAGCACGCACAGCAGCACCUACGGGGUACACACCGUGUGUACAACGGCACCCAGCACGCACAGCAGCACCCACGGGGUACACACCGUGUGUACAACGGCACCCAGCACGCACAGCNCACACCGUGUGUACAACGGCACCCAGCACGCACAGCAGCACCCACGGGGUACACACCGUGUGUACAACGGCACCCAGCACGCACAGCAGCACCCAUGGGGUACACACCGUGUGUACAACGGCACCCAGCACGCACAGCAGCACCCACGGGGUACACACCGUGUGUACAACAGCACCCAGCACACACAGCAGCACCCAUCCAGCAGCUCCUUCCAGGGUGACCCACAGCCUUGUGCCAGCGGCAUCUGCCUCCCUGCGGAAAUGCCACCCAUUUUGGGGGGUGCAGGGGGAGGCCUCACAGGCACACUGCAYCCAGGGGAGCACCCAGUGCUCGGAGGGUGCUCAGGGGCCCACGGUGGCUUUGGGWGAAGCCAUUCCCAGCCGGGCUGGCACCCCGGGGCCCUCCUCCUGUUUACCCGCUCCAGGCACCAUCUCUCUCGGCAGCAACGUGCCCGACCUCCCCUUCUCCACCCGAGCAGGGGUCUGCUCCUUGCUCACUGCUGCCUUGAGUUGA